CCACAACUUAUCAUGCAGGUUCAAGCGAAUUGGUGAUUUCCGUUGUUACUCGUGUGGCUGCUCUCCUUCUGCUGUGUGUUGGUGGCUACUGCUGCUACAAAUGCAUUUCUCACUGUAACAAUAAAACAAAGGACAGUGCAAACAGUCCCACAACUGCAGGUACUGAGGGAGCAGAAAAAUGAAGAGCCACUGAAACUUUCCUCCUCUUCAUUUUCAUCUUCAAAAGAAGAAAAAACCCCAAAAAGAAGAAAUAGAAGACAACAGACAAGCA